GUCCCCGUAGUUCAAUGGAUAGAACAGUAGUUUCCUAAACUAUUGAUCCCAGUUCGAUUCUGGGCGGGGGCGCCA
rnacentral:tRNA from 2 species